GGGGCUUCACACAGAAUUAGUAUAUUCCCUAAUAAUUAAUUUGUAUUUCUCAAACAAAGUCUUAAAAGAAAUACAGAUUCAAUAACUUCCGAACGUCAGGAUUUUAGCGUUUAGUCCUGAACGCCUCGACUGCCGUCAGAUGGUUUGCAUAGAUCUUAGAGCAGGUGACACUGCCAAGUCAGCAGAGAAUUAGUUCGGGAUUUUCCUCCUAACUCCCGAACGACCUCGUCUCCUUCUCCCCCCGCAGCCUUAUCCUUUCUUUCCCUCACCCACUCUUCCUCUCCACAACGUCUUUGUGGAUCGCUGCUGCCGCCAGCUCCCCGCGCCGCCGCGUUGGGCGGGGUCGAGGCCGCAUACACCCGCGUCAUCCUCGCCGGCGUAGAGGUGCGGUCGUGGCGGAGGCCAAGCGCCACCUCCUCGCCUGCGCCGCCGCGGCAGCCGUCUCCCCUCCUCGAGCUCGUUCAGGCGAUGCUCACCGAAGCGCGGCGUGACUCUGGUUCGCCCCCACCGGCUAGAGGUGCGGCCGUGGCGGAGGAAGAGUACCGCCCCUACGAUGCGGCGGCGGGCAUCUUGGUCAUCUCCCUCCUCAAGCUCACCGACCAGCUCGAGGUGUGAU
rnacentral:rRNA from 1 species